rnacentral:rRNA from 1 species
AUUGAACGCUGGCGGCAGGCUUAACACAUGCAAGUCGAGCGGCAGCACGGGGGCAGCCCGGGUGGGUGGUUGCGGACGGGGGAGAAAUACAUUGGAACGUGCCCGGUCGGGGGGGAUAGCGUUGAUAAAGUUACGCUAAUACCGCAUACGGUCUGAGGGUGAAAGCGGUGGACCGUGUUGGCUCGCGCGGUCGGAGGGGCCAAGGUCGGAUUAGGCAGUGGGUGGGGGAAGGGCCUACGAGGCCGACGAUCUGUAGCUGGUCUGAGAGGACGACCAGCCACCCUGGGAGUGAGAAACGGCCCAGACUCCUAGAGGAGGCCGCAGUGGGGAAUCUUACACAAUGGGCGAAAGCCUGAUCCAGGCCUACCGCGUGAACGACGAACGCCUUCGGGCUGUAGAGUGAUUUAGUCCGGAAGGAAGUAGAUCUGGCUAAUCUCUGGAGAUCAUGACGGUACCAGCAGAAUAAGCACCGGCUAACUCCGUG